CCUACGGGUGGCAGCAGUGGGGAAUAUUGGGCAAUGGGCGCAAGCCUGACCCAGCAACGCCGCGUGAAGGAAGAAGGCCCUCGGGUUGUAAACCUCUUUUAUUCGGGACGAAACAAAUGACGGUACCGAAUGAAUCAGCGACGGCUAACUACGUGCCAGCAGCCGCGGUAAGUCGGAGGUGGCAAGAGUUAUCCGGAUUUACGUGGUGUAAAGGGGGUGUAGGCGGGAGAGUAAAGCAGACGGGAAAUGGCAGGGCUCAACCCUGGAACUGGGUUUGAAACUGUUCUUCUUGAGUGAUGGAGAGGCAGGCGGAAUUCCGGGUGUAGCGGUGAAAUGCGUAGAUAUACGGAGGAACACCAGUGGCGAAGGCGGCCUGCUGGACAUUAACUGACGCUGAGGCACGAAAGCGUGGGGAGCAAACAGGAUUAGAUACCCUGGUAGUC
rnacentral:rRNA from 1 species